CAGAGAAUAGUUUAAUUUAAAAUUCUAGCUUUGGGAGUUAGAGAUGGAAGUUGAAGUCUUCUUUCUUUG
rnacentral:tRNA from 1 species